UACGUAGGUGGCAAGUCGUUGUCCGGAUUUAUUGGGCGUAAAGCGAACGCAGGCGGGAAGACAAGUCAGAUGUGAAAGCCCUCGGCUUAACCGAGGAAUAGCAUCUGAAACUGUAUUUCUUGAGUGCAGAAGAGGAGAGUGGAACUCCAUGUGUAGCGGUGGAAUGCGUAGAUAUAUGGAAGAACACCAGUGGCGAAGGCGGCUCUCUGGUCUGUAACUGACGCUGAGGUUCGAAAGCAUGGGUAGCGAACAGG
rnacentral:rRNA from 1 species